CGCAUCUCACAGAGAAGUGUAAGCAGAAAUAGCCAUGCUUAAUGGGCAAAGCUUUCGAGAGGCAAGGGGUCAGUGUUCAGUACGGCUACUAUUGUUUACUUUCUUAACCUAAAUUAGCUUAGUUUGCUUCCAAUAAUUAAUGGUCAAAUUCUCUACGCUUUCCUUUUUAUAUCUCAACCAUGAGACUGCGUUCAACUUUUCCCAGCUGCAUUAGUAAGAAGCUCAAUGGUAAUGGAGUCAGGGACGAUAUAUAGAACUGUGGGUUGGAGUUUUACAGUUGGCUUUUGUGUAUACAGUUGAUUGGAUAAUGUUGGGUAUUAUUUCUUUUCUUUUUUUUUUUUCCCAGAGUUUAUGCAGUAUUAGAUUUGAUUAAAUGUCGUCCUAGAAUCAAUUGUGGAGUCGUUUGCUUAUUCCUCUUCCUAUGUAUUAGAAUCAAUUGUUGAUUGGGUAAUGUAGUUUGAUAUGGCAUUCUGAGAUUUUGCUAGGGACGCUUUAUUAGAUGAUCCAUUGUUGAUAUUGAAACUUAUAUUCUUAUCGUGAUUCACUGAUUUCAUGUUUUUACGUUGCUGACAUUUAGUCAAUUAUAUCAUGACUUCACGUGCUGUACAAGAAAGAUUAUUUGUUCUUCCUCCUUACUUUGGCAAUUAUUUCCAUUCAUUUCCCUUGCCCUUUGUUUUUGUUUUUUCAUUUUUAUGCAUAUUUGUGGUGAGAAGUAUAUAUAUAUAGCUAGGUUUUUAUAGAUAUUUCUAGCCUGUCUCCAUAAUGACUAUGCAGUUCAUAUUUGGAUUUGCAAAAUGUUACUGAAUAAAUCAGAGUACUGCAUUAAUCUUGUCACUGACUUACUCUUCUUUUUUGCACACUGAACUAAUGGCCAGAGCAGUUAUUGGACCAACUUCUUUACAUUUUUAUUUUUAAACAUGGUUUGGUGACCUAGUUGGACAAUCUAUGUUUUUAGCAGUUUUUUUUCUAGUUAUUUGUAAAUGUGAAAUCCUUCCCCCUUCCCUCGUUCCUUUAGCAAUUGUGCUGACAUUGUUCUUGAGAGUUUAUAUAGUGAAUUGAGAAGCUUAGAUUACGACAUUUGCACACAAAUUCAGAAAUCAAUUGUUGAGUCUUGGAUUGUUCCUCAAAUCAUAGCUGAAGCACAUUGUCGAAGCCAUUGCCUAAUUAUGUGGUCUUGUUCUCAAAAUUGUUGGAUAAGUCUCCAAGAAACUCAUAUCUGUUUGGCAUAUUAAGUUCUUACUUUGAUUAUCCAGUUUACAAUGUCUUUUAGCAUCACAUGGUAUUUCUCUUGAUAUUCUGUCAGUUGGGUCUUAUAGCAAAAAUCACUUUAAAAAAGUUACCUGUAAAAUUUAUUUACCUUAGUGCAUUCUGUAACCGAGAUGUGUGAUGAGGUGAAUGCAGAAGAAAUGCCUUCUUGCAAGCAGAAAGCCUUUGUUAAAGACUCUACAAAUGAUUCUCUGCAACGGAAGAGUAGAUUAUUCUCUCUUUUUUUUUUCCUGUCAAGUUAUCGGUGCUUGUACUAUGAAGUGAUAAGAACUGUUUUUUUUUCCUUUUACCUGUGUGGACAGCUGUUAAAAAGGAACAUAAAGAUAAAUAGGCUACCAUUUUUCUAUCUAGUUACAUAAUUACACUUGCUCUGAUUUUCUAUGGUGUUUUCUUGAUGUUCUUGCUUUAUUAAGCCUAUAAAAUUCUCAGCAAGAACUCACAUGAAGGUGCUCUUGUCAGAUGGAAGAUUAACAACUUUGAGCAAUCCAAUGGAUAAGAAGUGAUUGCAUAAUACUAAGAAGUUAAAACAAUUUACAAACUAAGGAAUAAAGAACAAAGUGCUUGAGGUUCUUGUCAACUGUCCAUAAGAAUGUUUCAGCUCCAAAUUCUGCCUAUGAAGGUAUUGUUGAUAGACUGUUGCUUGGUCUUAAAAGUCUGGGUGCUGCAACCUUGUUGGUGCAAGUUCAAGUAUUGAGUGCGAUCACCAGCUAGCCUCUUAUAUCUUUCCUGAAAUUCUGUGAACAGUAGUUUGUCAUUAAAUUGUUCCAAUAUUCAUGUUUGGAAUAUUUCCAAGUUAUCCAUUCAAGAACACUGUUUUGAUGAGAUCAUGACUAGGUUACAUUGAUGUAUUCCUGUCUGUGUUGCAUCC